GACAGAGCCAUUAGCCCUGGGUCGGUUCGUUAGCGGAACGGCUUUUCCCCAGCAGGGCUUGGCAGCGCCGCCUCCCCAUAGCAACGGACAUAAACAAACCCAGGGGCUGCAGGGAAGUGAUGACUGAAAGGAAAGGGUGUCUCCAGCUCAACUACUGUGUGCCCGGCAUCAUCUGCUCGCCAGCUCUGUCGCUGCACCAUGCAGACCCCUUGCUCAGCAGCUGCUCAGUCACGGGUGUGGGCUUUUCCCAGAGGUGUGAGAUGGCCUUCUGCUGCCAACGCGUUGUUCGUGCCAGCCCACAGGGAUUGAUGCCCUGUGCUCAGCGUUGAUGGAUUGGUCACACAACUUGUACCAGCAGUGGAUGUGCUACCAAAGGCGAACAGCACUUGCAAGAUGCCCAGGGUGGGCAAACGGUGGUGAGCUUCAUGGGAGCCCUGGCAGCCUUUGGACUUCCAUUGAACCUGAAGUGCAAACCCACGCUUGGGGAAGGUGGACCCGUGCAGGCUGAGGAUGGAUACACAAAACAAACAAACAGAGUCCCAACAAACUGCAGCAGCACCCAGACAGCAUUAAUCCUAGCAUGGCUCUUACGCAAAAAAAAAAAAAAAAAAAAAAAAAGAGAGAAAGAAAAAAACCCAGCCCACGCAGGUUAUAGCACAAUCAUGUCUCCAGGGCUUUGGCCAGGACUGCAGGCAUGCUGGUAUGCUUAUUCAUUGAGCAGCUAUUCCUCAACAGCCGUCCUCCAGCUGACUGGCUCCAGCCCACCCACUUGUCCCACCCUGGACCAGCUCCCCAGCACCCCAGAAAUCUUCUGAUCCAGCUUUUUACCUUCUCCAUCUAAAAAGCACCACUGCCAACGACCCGAAGGCACGGGUUUGCUUUGAGUUCAGCACUUCAGGUGCAUGUGCCUGACAAGAAGAAAGGGAUUUCCAUCUAAAAAAAUUACUGGAGGGGGAAAAAAAAAAUCACGCCGCAAAGCAAGGCUGAAAGGAAAGCAUCACCCAUGCAGUGCUGUGGGUUAUAACUCACCCCAGCUGCUUGAAUGGGCAGGAGCAGCCAGACCCGGGGUGCCCAUGCGUGGGUGCUGGGCACGUGCGCACACUGCUCCUGGUAAAGGGAGAUCUCCUGGAAACACUAACGUUUCUCCCCGGUUUAGGUGGUGAAUUUGAAACUGGCAACAAAAAUGAGUGCUGGCUGCCUGGGUCUAGUGCAGGAAUCGGCCAGUCAGCACUGCUCAGAUGAAAGCUGUUUUGCAGGAAGCUGAAAAUGCCAAAAAUAGCAGUGUUUGGUUAAAUCUUUGUAUUUGCUUACAUAUUUCAUGGGUGUUUUUAAAGCCUGAAGGAGAUGCAUAUGGUCAUUUUUACCUUAGAGCCAAGUUUACACCAGUCAGGAUAAGAACCACCACAAGAAGACCUGUUAUUGUAUUGUGUUGGACACCUAUUUUGCUCCCUCCAUCUUUAGCUGAGUCUGUGAAAAAUACAAACAAGCACCCAAAACAUGAAACUCACUGUGCACAGAUAUUUUCAACACUCACACUCUUUCCCCUCUUCCUUCCAGGUCUCCUGUUAACCCUUCUGGCAGGUCUUUUCUGAUUUCUGGAUGGACUGUAUUUUCCCCUGGAGUAGCUGAAGCACAAAGGCCACUUGGCAUUUUUUUCUUUUAAAGGGAUGCAGCAUCUGUUCUUAGAGUGCCAAGAGUACUCUUUAAGGCACUUGCUGGUUAUGGCUUUCCAAGAAAAAAAAAAUCACUUACCAGCUAAAAUUAAUCCUGGGAAAUUUCAAACCAACAGGAACAUCCUUGAGAAAGCCAGAGCAUAAACAGGGGGUGAGAAAAACAAACAUUGCUUUGAACGCUGCUGCUUGUGGUGCUGCUCCGGCAGAAGGAAACAGGCUCAGGCUUCACUGGAUCAAAGGAAACAAAGGACUGGCUUGGCUUCGCUCACCAUACCCAGCAAGCCGUAUAUACUCAGUAACAGCUAGAAAUAGACUAUUUUUUUCCUCCUAAAAGUAAAAAGUAUGUCUCAAGCAACUAUCAUUUGUAAACCAUGGUAUGUAAUAGUUUUUGAGUCAAGAGGCAGGUUCUUUGUUGCAGAUUAGGGUUAACGGGUGGUUUCAUUGCAUGGCAGGUUUAGUAAAAUACUGUGGGACUGUAGACUGAAACUAGUGCCACCUCAAACAUGCAUUUUAACGGGGUACUAGGAACACAGCAAGUGCAUUUAAGGUGUAUUCUGAAGGAAAAAAAAAAAAAAAGAUUUGUGCACGAUGAGGGGAUUGUAUUUGCCCAAAAGGGCAUCAAGCUUUGUGGAAUGUAGUGCCAGCAUGUCUUCCCAAUUUGUUUAAUUAAAUAUAAAGACAUAAAUAUAUUGUAAUAGUAUGGCAAGUACUAUACAAGAGAAACAUAUAUAUCACCUAAGAAAAAACCAAUAGUUUAAAAAUAUUAUAGCUCCCCAUGUAGCAUAAGUUUGAACACCUU